rnacentral:sRNA from 1 species
UUCCAUUUGUUGCUGAUAGUACCAUGUC